rnacentral:rRNA from 1 species
CCUACGGGGGGCAGCAGUGGGGAAUAUUGGACAAUGGGCGAAAGCCUGAUCCAGCCAUGCCGCGUGUGUGAAGAAGGCCUUCGGGUUGUAAAGCACUUUCAGUGGGGAAGAAAGCCUUGGGGCUAAUACCCUCGAGGAAGGACAUCACCCACAGAAGAAGCACCGGCUAACUCCGUGCCAGCAGCCGCGGUAAUACGGAGGGUGCGAGCGUUAAUCGGAAUUACUGGGCGUAAAGCGCGCGUAGGCGGUCUGAUAAGCCGGUUGUGAAAGCCCCGGGCUCAACCUGGGAACGGCAUCCGGAACUGUCAGGCUAGAGUGCAGGAGAGGAAGGUAGAAUUCCCGGUGUAGCGGUGAAAUGCGUAGAGAUCGGGAGGAAUACCAGUGGCGAAGGCGGCCUUCUGGACUGACACUGACGCUGAGGUGCGAAAGCGUGGGUAGCAAACAGGAUUAGAUACCCCGGUAGU